UACGGGGGGAGCGAGCGUUGUUCGGAAUCACUGGGCGUAAAGCGUGCGCAGGCGGUUUGAUAAGUCAGGAGUGAAAUCCCGGAGCUCAACUCCGGAACUGCUUCUGAAACUAUCUUACUAGAGUAUGGUAGAGGUUGGGAGAAUUCCUAGUGUAGAGGUGAAAUUCGUAGAUAUUAGGAGGAAUACCAGUGGCGUAGGCGCCCAACUGGACCAUUACUGACGCUCAGGCACGAAAGCGUGGGGAGCAAACAGG
rnacentral:rRNA from 1 species